rnacentral:rRNA from 1 species
UACGGAGGUUGCAAGCGUUGUUCGGAAUGACUGGGCGUAAAGGGAGCGCAGGCGGCUUGUUAAGUCUGGAGUGAAAGCCCGGGGCUCAACCCCGGCGGGUCUUCGGAUACUGGCAAGCUUGAGUACGGAAGAGGAGAGUGGAAUUCCAGGUGUAGCGGUGAAAUGCGUAGAUAUCUGGAGGAACACCGGUGGCGAAAGCGGCUCUCUGGUCCGAUACUGACGCUCAGGCUCGAAAGCGUGGGGAGCAAACGGG